CCUACGGGAGGCAGCAGUGAGGAAUAUUGGACAAUGGAGGAAACUCUGAUCCAGCCAUGCCGCGUGAGUGAAGAAGGCCUUCGGGUUGUAAAGCUCUUUUACCCCUGACGAUAAUGACGGUAAGGGGAGAAAAAGCCACGGCUAACUUCGUGCCAGCAGCCGCGGUAAUACGAAGGUGGCAAGCGUUGUUCGGAUUUACUGGGCGUAAAGCGUGCGUAGGCGGUUUAAUAAGUCAGGAGUGAAAGCCCAAGGCUCAACCUCGGAAUUGCUUUUGAAACUGUUUACUUGAAUCCGGUAGAGGUUGGCGGAAUUCCCAGUGUAGAGGUGAAAUUCGCAGAUAUUGGGAGGAACACCAGUGGCGUAAGCGGCCAACUGGACCGGUAUUGACGCUGAGGCACGAAAGCAUGGGUAGCAAACAGGAUUAGAUACCCUGGUAGUCCAUGCCCUAAACGAUGUGUGCUAGUUAUUAGAGAUUUUAUCUUUGGUGACGCAGCUAACGCAUUAAGCACACCGCCUGGGGAGUACGGUCGCAAGAUUAAAACUCAAAAUGAAUUGACGG
rnacentral:rRNA from 1 species